rnacentral:rRNA from 1 species
UUUGAUUCAGACUAGCCAUGCACGUCUAAGUACAAACUAAAUGAUGGUGAAACUGCAAAUGGCUCAUUACAACGGUUAUGAUGUACCCGGGAGUUCCGAUGGAUAUUUCCAGUAACACUAGAACUAAUACAUGUCCCUGCGUUUAUUAGUUUCGCACAGUCCGUCGCUGAGUCAUGGUAAACAGUUGAUCGACUCGACGUCCCGGAACAGUUUCCGCCCCAUCAGCUUCGAUGGUUGGGUAUUGGCCUACCAUUGCAACAACGGGUAACGAGGAAUUAGGGUUUGAUUUCGGAGAGGGAGCCUGAGAAACGGCUACCACAUCUACGGAUGGCAGCAGGCGCGCAAAUUACCCGAUGCAGACACUGUGAGGUAGUGACGAGAAAUAAUAAAGCGGGACUUCUGUUUCGCUAUUAUAAUGAGGAAUAACCAAAGGUCAUUCCGAUUAGCAACUGAUGGGAAAGUCUGGUGCCAGCAGCCGCGGUAAUACCAGCGUCAGUAGC